CCUACGGGGGGCAGCAGUGAGGAAUAUUGGUCAAUGGACGAGAGUCUGAACCAGCCAAGUAGCGUGAAGGAUGACUGCCCUAUGGGUUGUAAACUUCUUUUAUAAAGGAAUAAAACGAGCCACGUGUGCCUUUUUGCAUGUACUUUAUGAAUAAGGAUCGGCUAACUCCGUGCCAGCAGCCGCGGUAAUACGGAGGAUCCGAGCGUUAUCCGGAUUUAUUGGGUUUAAAGGGAGCGUAGAUGGGUUGUUAAGUCAGUUGUGAAAGUUUGCGGCUCAACCGUAAAAUUGCAAUUGAUACUGGCAGUCGUGAGUACAGUUGAGGUAGGCGGAAUUCGUGGUGUAGCGGUGAAAUGCUUAGAUAUCACGAAGAACCCCGAUUGCGAAGGCAGCUUACUAAACUGUGACUGACAUUGAUGCUCGAAAGUGUGGGUAUCAAACAGGAUUAGAUACCCUUGUAGUC
rnacentral:rRNA from 1 species